AGGUAGGGAAGGAAACAAUCCCGACCCGGAGUGGACAGAUUACGUGUGAAAAUGAACUUGUGCAAACCCAACCCCAUGCUGAUAAUCCAUCUAAUACUGUCACUUCAGUACCUACUCACUGUGAAGAAGGCCCAGUGCAUAAAAGUACACAAAUUUCUUUGAAAAGGCCCCGUCACCGUAGUGUGGGUAUUCAAGCCAAAGUGAAAGCGUUUGGAAAAAGACUGUGUAAUGCAACUACUCAGACAGAGGAAUUGUGGUCUAGAACUUCCUCUCUCUUUGACAUUUACUCCAGUGAUUCAGAAACAGAUACAGACUGGGAUAUCAAGAGUGAACAGAGUGAUUUGUCUUAUAUGGCUGUACAGGUGAAAGAAGAAACAUGUUAAAAACUCAACAUCAAAUGCUCUGAUGUGCUAUAGAUUUUCAAAUCUUUACUCACAUAAUUAUCUCUUUGCUAUUGUAAAUCUUUCACUUCAAGAUAAUUUGACAGUUGAGUAUCAGCAUAAUUUGUUUAGCUCUAAGGCAAAAGUUUGCUUGCUU
rnacentral:lncRNA from 1 species